GUCUACGGCCAUGCCAUCCUGAACAUGCCUGAUCCCGUCUGAUCUCAGAAGCUAAGUAGGGUCAGGUCUGGUUAGUACCUGGAUGGGAGACCACCUAGGAAGACCAGGUGCUGUAGGCG
rnacentral:rRNA from 1 species